UGUCUAUUUAAAGAGACCUCUCUUAAAUUUUCUAGAGCAUCCAAACCAGCAGCCCCCAUGCCUAUAGAAGGUCUCCACGCCCUCUCUUCCUCUCCUUUUUUCUUCUCUCUUGGGUAUUCUACACACCCCUUCUCUUGGGAUGCACGUCCCAAGGUGUUCCACACCCAAGACUAUUGGGUGUCUCUUCUUUGCUGGUUUCU
rnacentral:lncRNA from 1 species